UAACCCCCGAAUAACUUCACUUGUAGCGUUAAUGUUAGCUGUACAAAUAGACUAUUAAUCUAAUACUAAUUUAGCCAGCUAUCACACUGUGGUCUUUCUUCCUCACUCUCCCGGUGCAGACAGACUCAGUCGGCGUGAGAGCUAACAACAGCCCCAGGACAUAUAGCUAGCUAGUUACUGUUAGCCUCCAGUCAGCUAGCAGCCAGGCACUUUACUUACAGCAAUCCAACCGGCCGGCCCUUAGCUCCAGUGCCUGGUGCUUACGACGCUAACAGCAGUUUAAUGAAGCGUCUGGAAACAGUUCAUAUUAGACCCAGGCACCCGAGUCACAACAGCGG